AAUCAUUGCAUAACGGUAAAUUGUUUCCAAAUAGGAAAAUAUGUCAUUUUUUUUGGCACGGAUUAAAAAAGUAAUAUGUUCACGUAAAUUGAAACGAAAGGAGUAGUAUAUAUGAACCAACCUAUUUAAAGAAAGUCAUGAAAAGAAAAAUUAAUGAAGAUGAACCAUGCUGAACUAAUCUAUACCCAAUAGCUUCAUUUCACCUGGUUCAAAACACCCAACAGGAAAACAAUAUUGUCUCUCAUAUAAAGCCUCAUGCGAGACCAUUUGAAUAUUCUCCAAAAUCAAUAGCACAUGGUUAUCUAUAAGACUUGAGAAUAGCACCACAGAGGCUACAUAUAAUAGCCUUCCAAGAUUUCCAGUAUAAAGGAAUAUAACAAAAUCUGGUAACAGUACACAUAUCAGCAACAUGAGCACUACGGCCACAUCUCGAACAGGAGCCAGCUACAGGUUUAGUCUUCUUUACUACUGACCUCUGAUCCACCAGAAAGCAAAAACAGACCAUCAAAAAUAGAAUAGUAACAAUAUCAGAAAGCUUUUGAUUUCUUUGGCCAACUUUUCUUCCUUACUCGAAUAAAG
rnacentral:lncRNA from 1 species